ensembl:lncRNA
GGGCGGGGAGGGGGCAGGGCCUACAGGUGGGGGUGUGGCCCGUGCCGAGAGGGACUGGGCACUCCGAGCGUCCGGAGCCAGAGGAGGGGUUGUUGAUCUGUCCGGCGUUUCUUCGGGUGCAAGUCCUGUCGCCUAGUCCUUAGAAAAAAUACCCGGUUUUCUGGGAGAUUGCGUGCUUGUGUGCCCUCUGUGCUUAUCUUCCUUCCGCGAAAUUGGAGUUGUGGAAGGCUUCCUCAGAAGUGUGUGUGUGUGUGUGUGUGUGUGAAUUCCUGACUCAUUCUACACCAGUGUUACUUGAUGAUAUAAGAACGUUCUGGCAGAAAAAAAGGUCUCUAGCUCUUGAAGUCCUGAGUGUGCACUGAGCUGCCUAGGGCCCCUCAGUUGAGAGAACACAGACUCAUUUAACACAUCCUGAAGAAAGCUUGUGGUCAUUCCAUGGGGAGGUAGGAAGCUUCAUGUGCUUGAUGCGUCACUUCAAAGGUACUGAGAAAAGAGAGGCUCUUCUAGGUGGGGUUAAAGGGAUGCCAUGCCGCUGACGUGACACCACCCGCCUCAGAGUGGGUGAGUGACAAAGCUGUGCUAAGGACAAGAACUGUGAAAUAUCCAGUGCGUCCUAUAUACCUUUGAAUAUUUCCCAACAAAUAUUCAUUGAGGAAGGGGGAGUGUGGACUGGGAAACAGGUAUCCUUACUUCAAGAUUUGCUCUUCAAAAAUCUGUUUAAAAUUUUCAUCUCAGGCUUGUUUGGGUCUGGAGAGAAACUUUAGAUUUUAGAGCUGGAAGUAGCAGAAGAUAUCUAGCUAUCCCAGCUUCCUUCUUUCUUUCUUUAUUUUUUUUUUUUAAGAUAAACAGGUUCAGAGAAAUUCUUUUUGUGUGUGAAUUCUUUUUUAAAUUUUAAUUGGAGGCUACUUUACAAUAUUGUGGUGGUUUUGCCAUACAUUCACAUGAGACAGCCAUGGGUGUACAUGUGUUCCCUGUCCUGAACGCCCCUCCCACCUCCUCCCCACUCCAUCCCCCAGGGUCGUCCCAGUGCACCAGCCCUGAGCACCCUGUCUGAACGCCCCUCCCACCUUCUCCCCACUCCAUCCCCCAGGGUCAUCCCAGUGCACCAGCCCUGAGCACCCUGUCUCAUGCAUUGCAGGUUGAGAGAAAUUAAAUGAUUUGCUCAAGUUAGUAGAAGAGUUCAGACUAAAAUCCAAGUGUCAACAGCUUCCGGUAUUUUGAAGAACCAGUGGCUUGGAGGAGAUUGGUGAUUUAGUCACUAAGUUGUGUCUGGCUUUUGCGACCCCAUGGACUGUAACCUACCAGGCUCCUCUGUCCAUGGUAUUUCCCAGGCAAAAGUACUGGAGUGGGUUGCCCUUUCUUUCUCCAGGGGAUCUUCCCGACACAGGAAUCAAACCCCUAUCCCCUGCAUUGCAGGCAGAUUCUUCACCUACUGAGCCACAGGGAAGCUCAGCUUGGGGGAAGGGAUAAAUUGGGAGGUUGGGAUGACAUGCUCACUGCUAUAUAUAAAAGAGAUAACUAGUCAGAACCUACUGAAUAGCUCAGGGAACUUUACUCAAUACUCUUUAAUGGCUUUUAUGGGAAAAGAACCUAAAAAAAGAGUGGGUAUAUGUAUAACUGAUUCACUUUGCUGUAUAGCAGAAGGUAAAACAAUAUUGUAAAUCAACUAUAGUCCAAUAAAAAAUAAAGAAAUUAAACAUUAAAAACCAGUGGCUUAUAUAGAUUUUGUAUGUUUCUUUAUCUGAUAGCAUUAACCAAGGGCAGAUUCUAUAGAAUUUUACCGUUAAAUGUUCUAGCUGGGUGGCAAAUAUUUAUUUAUCAGCGCAAUAAUAAUGGAAAUGUUUUUGUUCUUUCAGUUCACUAGCAUGGGAGUAUAGGAAGCAUUAGAUGGUCCCACAAACUGGAGAACAAUUAUACCAAAGAAGUUCUCACACUGUUGUGAAAGUUCUAGGACCCACAACAGAUUUCCCAACCUGGGGAUCUGGCAAAGGAACUGAGAACCUCCAGGGAAUUUGACUUUGAAGGCCAGUGGGAUUUGUUACAGAACUUCCGCACGACUGGGGAAACAGACUCUUGGAGGGCACAAACAAAACCUCAUGCGCACCAGGACCCAGGAGAAAGGAGCAGUGGCCCCACUGAGACUGAGCCAGACUUGCUCCUGCCAGGCACCUCUGUCCAUGGGAUUUUCAGGCAGGAAUACUGGAGUGGGUAGCUGUUCCUUGUCCGGGGGAUCUUCCCGACCCAGGGGUGGAACCUACAUCUCCUGAGUCUCCUGCACUGGCAGCUGCGUUCUUUAUCACAGAGCCACCUGGGAAGGAUUUCCGUAAGUGCUGCUUAAACAUGCCCAUUUCCCCAUAAUUUUGUGCUUGGACCAUUUAUCAGUUUACAUCCUCGUACAAGUGACACUCCCAUGGUUCCAAUGACUUCCUUAACCAUAUUCUCUGCCUUGAGAACUUCCUCCCAAAUUGGAGGUUUCUCCUUCUGUAUUUCUAAGUCUAAAAUGGAAUGCUUUCUUACCACAUCAUCUGCUCCGUAACAAAGGCACUCUGCCACAUGAUAAGCCUUGGAUUCAUUCUCCACCUCUCCUUUCUCACUUCUCUCAUAAAAGUAGCCAUUAAGCACUCUCAAUUAUUUCUCAAAAAUGUCUCUCAAACCUGUACUUUUCCAUUUCUUGAAUUAUUUCCUCCCCCAAACCUCACUUCUUUGCCUAAGAUCUUCCAUUGGGUCUCCAUUAUUCACAAGAUUUUUCAGCUUAGCGAGGACAAACUUUACCAGUAAAGCUUUUCACAAUUUCCAGCCUCAGUAACAACCACUUCCUCUCAGGCGCCCUAUUCCCCAGUCAUUUUCAUGAUAUACCUUCUGGCUCUUUCAGAUGUUCAUACUUCUGCACAUGCCUUUCCGUUGCCCUUAAAGGUCCUCCAUACCAGAGUUUUCCAAAGCUGCUUGAGAAUAAGAAUCAGGUAAAGUGCGUGUCAAUAAAUACAGCUGCGCACAGCUUCUCCGGAGUCUUGUUCACAGGGUCUAGGACGGGUCCUGGGAAGCUAUGUUUUAACAAGUGGCCUCACUGUCAUUCUUGUCAUUGGGCCGGUUUAGCAGACAGGUUUCACUCUUACUCCACUUUCAGAGUGUAACGCUUUUACCCUUUCACCUGCGAAAGACCUCUGAAUGCACAGGCAAAAAUUCAGUCCUCCAGGACAUUAGCCGUCUGCUAUAGUAAGUGAGUGGGACUUGAAACAUAUGUUUCUUACUAACACUAACCAGGCAAGAUUAUAAUUUACCUGUCCCCCCCCAAAAAAAACCUUCAGUGGCUUCUAUUAGCUACAAAAUGAAAUCUGCACUUAAGUCAACUUAGCAAGUCCUUUGAGUAUCUAUUAUAUAUCAAAAAAGAUUCUAGGUUUGAUACAGAAUCAAAGAUUCUAGGUUUGAUUAAGACCCAAUCUCAAGGAGCUCACAUGAUCUAGAAAGGAAUGACUCUGCUUGGCAUUUAAAGUCUUACAAAUCUUGGCCCAACCCGUCUUUCUCUUCUGUUUAUCUCCCCGGGGCCUCUUCAUAUUCAGUCUCAGGCCCUUCACACUUGGUGUUCGUCGUGCCUGGAAUACUCUUCCCUCUCCCAUUUGAUCUGGCUCACUUCUGCUGUUCCUUUAGCGGUUACCACAAGCAUGUUUUCCUUAGGAAAUUCUUUGUUCUUCCUGUCUAGGACAAAUCCUGCUAUUGUAACAUUCACCUCAUAUCCCCUCCAAGACAUUUGUCCCAGAUUUGAUUUUCUACUUGUUUAUACGAUUAUUUGAUUAAUGUUUGUCUUCUCCUCUGUACUGCAAGCUCCACGAGGACAGGGGGCUGUGUUGUGGUUACACAGAUGUUCACUGUGUAGCUGUUCGUUAAUCUGUCUCUGUAUGUUUAUGUAACAUUCAGUAGAUUUGAUCUAUCCCUAACACUUAUCUUGCACAAUAUAUUCAAAAUCAAAUCUUGAACAUUUAUUCAAACCUAACAAUACUGGAGAAGACUCUUGAGAGUCCCUUGGACUGUAAGGAGAUCCAACCAGUCAAUCCUAAAGGAAAUCAAUCCUGAAUAUUCAUUGGAAGGACUGAUGUGGAAGCUGAAACUCCAAUACUUUGGUCACCUGAUGUGAAGAGCUGACUCAUUGGAAAAGACCCUGAUGCUGGGAAAGAUUGAAGGCUGGAGGAGAAGGGGACGACAGAGGAUGAGAUGGUUGGAUGGCAUCUCUGACUUGAUGGACAUGAGUUUGAACAAGCUCCAGGAGUUGGUGAUGGACAGGGAGGCCUGGCCUGCUGCAGUUCAUGGGGUCGCAAAGAGUCAGACACGGCUGAGCGACUGAACUGAACUGAACAAUAAUAACAGCUAAAAUUUUGGAUUAUUUUAUUAUGUACCAGGCCCCUAAAUGAAUUAUUUAAUCUUUAUAAUGAAACUUUAAGAUAUAUUCUAUUAUUACUCCCAUUUCAUAGAAUGGCUUAAAAAAUUACCCACCUCCUGCUUCCCUGUCCCUAGCAUCUGAAACUACUCUCCUUCUCUGUCUUCCCAUUGACGUCUUAAGUAAUUGUACUCACCAGCUAUUCUGCUCCACCACAUGGACUAGUCUCUCAGUCUGGGAUGCUCUCUCCUUUCCUCACUUACUUACUUUUCUCCUCCUCAUCGCUCUCAAAAGAGUUUCUAGGACCCGCCCUAGAUCAGAUCAGCUCCUUGUUAUAUGUACUAGUUUUCUAUUGUUACUACAAUAAAUUCCCACAAAUUUAAUGGCUUAAAAAACCACAAAUUUAUCAUUGCACAGUACUGGAUGUGAAAACUCCUACAACCAAUGUGUUGGCAUAACUGUGUUCCUUCUGCAGGCUCUUGGGGGAGAAUCCAAUUCUCCAAUGAUCUUUGUUAAGAACCAGGGGCUUUCUAGGUAGACGUAAGAGACGCAGGUUCAAUCCCUGCAUAGGGAAGAUCCCCUGAAGGAGGGCACAGCAACUCACUCCAGUAUUCUUGCCUGGAGAACCCUAUGGACAGAGGAGCCUGGCCGGCUAUAGUCCAUAGACUCACAAAGAGUCAGACACGACUAAAGUGACUUAGCACGCAUCAAGAAUCAACUUUGGGAAGGUUAUGUGAUAAAGAUGAUGCUGAGGUGGAUGGGUUACCUCUCCUUUUAUAUUCAUUAAGUGGCUGGUGUAGAAAACAUUUUACAGCUCAAUCUGAGAACCCUUAGAUUCUUUAAUUUCUUUCUAAUCAGGCAUGGACAGAGAUAUGAGAAAAUAUGCAUACAGAGCUAUGCAGGCAAAACUCAGUCAGAGGCACCAUAGAUCUUCAUUAUCAAUUAGGGCAAUAAAACUUAUUUUUGCAAAAUUAUUGUUUUUCAUAAUGGCUACUUUUGUAUUUAUUACUGUGAUUGUGUUAUAUACAAUGAAUAUCUAGUUCUGAGAAACAAACAAAAAACUGCUGAUGG